CCUACGGGUGGCAGCAGUCGAGAAUCAUUCACAAUGGGGGAAACCCUGAUGGGGCGACGCCGCGUGGGGGAAUGAAGGUCUUCGGAUUGUAAACCCCUGUCAUGUGGGAGCAAAUUAAAAAGAUAGUACCACAAGAGGAAGAGACGGCUAACUCUGUGCCAGCAGCCGCGGUAAUACAGAGGUCUCAAGCGUUGUUCGGAAUCACUGGGCGUAAAGCGUGCGUAGGCUGUUUCGUAAGUCGUGUGUGAAAGGGGCGGGCUCAACCCGCGGACGGCACAUGAUACUGCGAGACUAGAGUAAUGGAGGGGGAACCGGAAUUCUCGGUGUAGCAGUGAAAUGCGUAGAUAUCGAUAGGAACACUCGUGGCGAAGGCGGGUUCCUGGACAUUAACUGACGCUGAGGCACGAAGGCCAGGGGAGCGAAAGGGAUUAGAUACCCCGGUAGUC
rnacentral:rRNA from 1 species